AAUAGUCUUCAGGGCAGGGUGCAAGUCCCUACCGGUGGUACAGCCCACGAGCCGCAAGGCAGAUUCGGUUAGAUUCCGAAGCCGACAGUUACAGUCUGGAUGAAAGAAGACAAGA
rnacentral:ncRNA from 2 species